UAUUCAGAAUUUUGACCAUAAAUUAUACUUUACCAUCCAUAUUUACAUUUCAUUUGGGAUUGUAGAAAAAUUGUGUUACGUGCGGUGAGAAAAUACGAUAAAAAAAAUAUUCUAUUUAUUUUCGUAUGUGAUAUUACGUUCCGCAUAUCGUAAUGAGUCAGUUACACUAUAUUUUCUGUGGUCCCGCUGGAGAAUGCAGAAGCAUAACCUUGUCAAUUUUUACCUCAACUCCAUUUUAUCUAAUAACGUCAGAUGGACCAAAUUAAGCCAUAAUCCAGAUUU
rnacentral:lncRNA from 1 species